GACAGCUGAGAUGCUGAGAUAAUUGUGGGAGGAGUCAGGCUAUGCACAAAUUCUAAAGACAUAUUGUGAAGGGUACAUGCCUGGGCUCACUCCUCACAGAGCUGGAGUAUGAGAAGGAGAUCUUGCUAAGAAACUCCCCCAUCUGGUCUGACACUGAAGCUCCUGUCCCCUGAGGUUUUGUCUUCAGCAAGGAGCAGCCUCCUAAGCUACCAUCUCUAUCAUGGCUAUUGUUACUGCUCUUGUUCUUAGAGCUCUGCUCAUGGGAACUGUGGUGACUUUUCUGAUGUGGAAGAGGAAGACUAGAGGAGGUAAAGUCUCUAGGAUGUUCAGCCUUCUGUUACAGCAGUAAAACGAGACAUCCUAAGGGGCCUGAUGUACAACAGGUAAAAGACAAGAUGCUAUAACCCUGGACGAUGGGAAUUUAGGAUUGGGAUAGUUUGAGUGUGUGAUGGUCUCUUCAGUAUGUCACCAUUUAAAGACACUGAUCCAAAUUUCUUCCUUGUCUUUUUACCUACAGGAUAAGACAGAUUCCUUUAUGUGGUACUGAACUAUACAAUAUUUGUUCUGUUUUCUCCUCCCAUUGUGGCUUCAAGAUCUGGUGCUUUCUCCUUCUACAUCUGACUGCAACUGUGAUUCUCUCUCCUCUGAGCACAAUAUAAUAGGCCAUGGGCAACAAAAAUUUCAUCCCCACCCUUACUGUGUGUGUUCCCCAGUCAUCUCUUGUGCUUCAACAGUCAUGGCUGGGAAAUCUCCAUCCCUGAUUGAAAUUAGCUUUCGAUGAGCUACAGCUUUAUGCUUCUUUUUUAAAUUAAGCAUUUGAAAGUGGUUAUGCAACUUCUAUUCAGAUUGUGUGAUUGAUGCGUGUUCUAAAGAUGAGAAAAGUUGAUGAAGAA
rnacentral:lncRNA from 1 species